rnacentral:rRNA from 1 species
CUACGGGAUGCUCCAGUGAGGAAUAUUGCACAAUGGGGGGAACCCUGAUGCAGCAACGCCGCGUGGAGGAUGACGCAUCUCGGUGUGUAAACUCCUUUUAUAUGUCAAGAAAAUGACGGUAGCAUAUGAAUAAGCACCGGCUAACUCCGUGCCAGCAGCCGCGGUAAUACGGAGGGUGCAAGCGUUACUCGGAAUCACUGGGCGUAAAGGACGCGUAGGCGGAUUGGAAAGUCAGGUGUGAAAUCCUACAGCUUAACUGUAGAACUGCACUUGAAACUUCUAAUCUAGAGUAUGGGAGGGGGAGAUGGAAUUAGUGGUGUAGGGGUAACAUCCGUAGAUAUCACUAGGAAUACCUAAAGCGAGGGCGAUCUCCUGGAACAUUACUGACGCUAAGGCGUGAAAGCGUGGGGAGCAAACAGGAUUAGAUACCCUUGUAGUC